UUUGACCCAAUCUAAUGAGCUUACAUAAUUUUGUACAUCCGUAUGUGUAACAAUAACUGUAAGUCUUGGGAAACAAAAAAAGUAACCAAAGAAUGUUGUAUAAAAAGAUUGCUAUUUAGGCCGAUUCUUUGUGCGGACACAUCUAGAAGUUCACUUCCCUGAAGUCCCUACCCUUCCACAGUAGAGGACGUGACACGUUCUGGAGUUUAUUUUUUAGUUGAAGUGAUUGGUGUCUCUCAGUGUACAUCUUAUACUCAUUUCCUUCUAGUUUGACGAGGAUACACUUAUUCAUGUUUGUACAGCAUAAGUCGUUUGAGUUUAUGUUCCUUGGAUGAGCCGAUUUAGUUGAGUGUUAAUAUGCGCUCAGUAAUACCUUACUAUGUUUCAGUGACCGUUUAGUACUUGAUGGCAAGGAAUUUAUGUUUCUGAUAUAGGUAAGCCAAAUGGUAUUACUGGCUGAUCAGUUUUGGUAGGGUUCUUAGUUACUCUGCAAUCAUGGUCACUGACUCACUGUUUUGUCUUAUGGACCCGCUAACACGUGUACCUUGAUGCACGGACACUUGUUUCUGUGCAUGUCCAAUACUUCUGAGAUCAGUUCGGGUCCCUGCAGACUUAUUUAAAUUGCAUCUCAUAUUUUCUUAAGAAAAAUCGUACAUGCAGAUUGCAAAUGCCGCGGAUCUCAUGGACAAUUAUUAGGUUUUUAGCUAAUGAGUACGACGAUUGUGACUAUCAAUGCAACAAAUAUGCUAUUAAUUACUACUUCAAGGAAGAUGAACCAGUUAGGGAGUUUGCGUGUCCCUUGUUUGAUUAGCUAGAAUUUGCUAGGUGUGCAAAAAAAUGUUCGAUCAUUGUAACAUUGAGCUUCUGCCGGUGGAGGAGAUCGACUGUAAGAGACACCACACGGUGGUGCAAAGGACUGCAGGAUGACUUGGCUGGCUUUGGUUUCUAAAUAUGUAAUACAAAAUCAAGGUAUAUCCAAAACGAACUUAUAUACUAGAGAUGUUUCCAAUUCUUUGUUUUCUUUUCCUUGGAAGUAUCAAAGUUGGAACCUUUCAAUUCUUGUUGUUUUGUUGUCAGUAUUCUGAUUAUAUGGCACUUGUGAAUUGUGAUGUCAAAAUUUUCCUGUGUUAUAGCAAGAAAGUAAAAGCUAUGUAAUCAUGCUCAUAUGGGUUGCACAAGAAAAUUAACUUUCUGGCACUUUCUACUAUUUUCAGGCUAAUCAAAUGCGGAAAAGUUUCAGUUUUGUCUUUUUCUCGCAUUCUUCUCCAUUUCACUCUAAUCAAACGUAGAUCUGCAACAUACUUCAUGGAACUAGUGUACAUGCCAAAUGCAUGGUUACUUUCCCGCCCGGAAGAUAUGUUACCCAAUCCAGGUCUUUCGUUUUGUGAUGGUAUCCUAAGUUAGACACCGAUCGCUUACUCAUUUUGCACAUAAGCUGUAAACUUUGUCAUGCAAGAACACAUCAAAGUUCUGUUGUAUUUCUUUUCUCCUUGAACAUAGGAGUGUAAAAACGUUAUUCAAAUACAUAUUCUGAAACCAUUUGCUGAACUGCUUGAACAAAUCCUAGGAAUCUGUUCUUGUCCUUUCUUAUCCUUAUUAGGAGACUUCCCUCACCAACAUACCCUUGAGGUUGAUCCUCCUAAAAUCCUUGUUAUCUCCCGCUGUAGAUUUCUGUCAUUUGCAUUUGUGUCCUAAUGUUAUGAGAAAAAUGUUCUGAGCAAGUUGGGGUGUUAACGUAACAGAGGAUAAGAUGUUUGUUAUGCAUUUUUCUUUGAAUGUCAGUUCAGUUUUCUUGUGAUACUUCGGAAUGGAAUAAUUAUCUCACACUUAAUUAUAGACAUGCAUUUUAAUUUCUUUCAACAGGUUUGGUCUUCAGUGAAUACUUGCAUAUUGGACUAGUUCUUUCAUUUAAAGAGGUUAACGACGAGGAACCACUUUUUCCAGCUGUAUCACUUCUUAACCUGAACAAAUCAUAGUUGGCAGUACUAUCAGGAGAAGCCGAGGAUGCUGCUGCUGCUAUUGUGGCUUGGCUGCAGCUGGGGACCAAACUCUCUGAUGUGGUUCCAAACAAGAGUGAUGCACUUGCAUUGUUUGACCUCUUCAGAGAUGAAGGCUACAUUUUGACCGAGCAUGAGGGAAGAUUUUGUGUAUCUCUGUGGUUGAAUUUAAUGUUCAAAGAAGGCUCCUUGCCACCAGACAUUCUCAAGUCAAUGUUCCAUGUCAGCUAGCUGCAUUGGCAAGAGAAAAAUUCUGGAAUCAAAACAAGGAGGUUGUUUGAUGACUGCAGACGAGGGGGAAAGCCGCAAAUAUCACUGGACUAUGUUCUAAGGGAGUUCAACCAUGUCAAAAAGGACGGUGAACUAGUGGGUUGGUCGGUCGAUGGUCUCAUUGCAAGGCCUUUGCCUAACAAAAUUCGUCCUGGAAACCUUUCCUCUGCUGUAAUAUGUUGACCUAAAUAUGCAGAAAGAAAGCAUGCGAUCACCCAGGUAGACAUUUGCAAGCAAAUAAAUAAGGGAAGGAAAUCCCUUCCUAUGCUGCAAGAAGUGGCUUCAGCCAAGGGGAAAGAUGGAAGGGAGAAGUCGAAGUUUGUGGGACAAGACUAGAACACCCUUGGUGGAUGGAAGGACCACGAAGAUGUGUACUGAUAAUUGGAACUUGCAGGUCCGCUGGCGGGAGUGGACCUGGGGGAGGGUUGCAACUUAAACUUUCCAAAUGAUUAGCUGCUAAUUUCAGAACAAUAUUCAUUCAUUGUGUGCUACCGUGGUGUUUGUCUAGGUCUCAGAAAAGUUCCCCAUUGAAUUUUUGAGAGAGUUGAUGAAAUGUUGCACGAGGUCGUGGAAAAACUUCUCUUGCAAUGUUAGCUUGAGUUUACGAAAAGAGAAUAUUCAGUAGCAAUCGGGUUCACUAAUUGGAUUCUGCCUCCUGGAUACUGAUCAUUCUUGUUGUAUUAAUAUAGUUUUCAUUGAGGAAAAUUGAGAUUCAAGGCACUUCCUAACGAAACAAAUAUUUUUCUGCAGUGUUAAUUUGUUCCAAAAAAAAAAAAAUUGUUUCCUACCAUUGUAUUACGAACUUACAACAGCCAUGACUUGUAUGCACUGAAGUUGCCGUGCAUUCAAAAAAUUUCCUCUGCUUAUUGGAGUGCUAAAUCCGCUUUUUAAGAGAUGAGGAAUCAGGCGAAAAAAAAUCGACCAACCACGAAGAGUGGUAGCCUUGUUAUUCCAGGCUUACUUCUAAGUUGUUUCGGUGGUCAAGAGGUUCCAAGGUCGUGAGAUCAACGGCUCUUCAAACUUUGGCCUCCUACGAAACCAACCCGACUAUGCUCUACUAGCCGUUUGUAAGGCGGUA